AUGUUCGCCCGUUUGUUUCCUGGAUUGGAGUCCAUGCCGAACACGUCUGUACUGGCAGAUUCGCUGCAGGCCAUGACGACGCAUGGAGAUGUUUUCAAGAUGAAGCUACUCAUGUACCUCAUCACAGCUGUUUUCGCGCCGACCACUUCCCUUCGCCCAAGCAACAAAUGUUUCCCCAUCCUAGCGAAUCUGAAAAAUGUGAAGAACAUGAACUGGUGUAAGUUUAUUGCCGACUUUCUCCAUGAUGCUUUCAAAAACAAGAUGUACCAGAAGGGUUGUCGACUGCAUUUAAUGCUCAUAUAUGUCGACUGUCUUGAUCUGUCCACUAUGGAUUUCUCUGGGGUAGGAGGCCCGCCGCCUACGCACAAGUUUGUUGUUUCUGCGUGGACCAUCAACGCUGUCAAGGCUGUGCUUGCCGCAGACAGGGCAACUGAUACCACAUAUGGAAAACUACAGCUGAUGGCCAAGCAUGCUAUAGACUACAGCGUGUUUGGGGGGCCUCAAAAAUUUGGAAAGUGGAUGGACGUGCACUCAGCUCCGUCUUGCCCUUCUGAGGCGAGGGCACCAGUUGAGCAUCUAAUUGGGCAGUUUGCAUCCGGAAUGACCGGCUUGCUCGGGAAGUUGGUUGAGGGGUGGACGUCCCUCAGUGCCUCUGAUAGCGACGCGGUUGCGAGGCAGUUCACUUCAUUUGUCCCAGAACGUACACAUCGACCAACCGGUUACCGUGGCCGGUAUGACUACAACAGUUCCCAAGAGCCCGGUGACACACAAGAUGAUGUAGAUGGAGACGCUGGCCUCAGCAAGGAUGAUGACGAUGACAUGGAUAAUGUGCAUUAG
rnacentral:rRNA from 1 species